GAUGAACGCUAGCGGGAGGCCUAACACAUGCAAGCCGAGCGGUAUUGUUUCUUCGGAAAUGAGAGAGCGGCGUACGGGUGCGGAACACGUGUGCAACCUGCCUUUAUCUGGGGGAUAGCCUUUCGAAAGGAAGAUUAAUACUCCAUAAUAUAUUGAACGGCAUCGUUUAAUAUUGAAAGCUCCGGCGGAUAGAGAUGGGCACGCGCAAGAUUGGCUAGUUGGUGAGGUAACGGCUCACCAAGGCGAUGAUCUUUAGGGGGCCUGAGAGGGUGAUCCCCCACACUGGUACUGAGACACGGACCAGACUCCUACGGGAGGCAGCAGUGAGGAAUAUUGGUCAAUGGGUGCAAGCCUGAACCAGCCAUCCCGCGUGAAGGACGACUGCCCUAUGGGUUGUAAACUUCUUUUGUAUAGGGAUAAACCUACCCUCGUGAGGGUAGCUGAAGGUACUAUACGAAUAAGCACCGGCUAACUCCGUGCCAGCAGCCGCGGUAAUACGGAGGGUGCAAGCGUUAUCCGGAUUUAUUGGGUUUAAAGGGUCCGUAGGCGGACUUAUAAGUCAGUGGUGAAAGCCUGUCGCUUAACGAUAGAACUGCCAUUGAUACUGUAAGUCUUGAGUAUAUUUGAGGUAGCUGGAAUAAGUAGUGUAGCGGUGAAAUGCAUAGAUAUUACUUAGAACACCAAUUGCGAAGGCAGGUUACCAAGAUAUAACUGACGCUGAGGGACGAAAGCGUGGGGAGCGAACAGGAUUAGAUACCCUGGUAGUCCACGCCGUAAACGAUGCUAACUCGUUUUUGGGCUUUAGGGUUCAGAGACCAAGCGAAAGUGAUAAGUUAGCCACCUGGGGAGUACGCUCGCAAGAGUGAAACUCAAGGGAAUUGACGGGGGCCCGCACAAGCGGUGGAUUAUGUGGUUUAAUUCGAUGAUACGCGAGGAACCUUACCAAGACUUAAAUGGGAAUUGACAGCUUUAGAAAUAGAGCUUUCUUCGGACAAUUUUCAAGGUGCUGCAUGGUUGUCGUCAGCUCGUGCCGUGAGGUGUUAGGUUAAGUCCUGCAACGAGCGCGACCCCUGUCACUAGUUGCCAUCAUUCAGUUGGGGACUCUAGUGAGACUGCCUACGCAAGUAGAGAGGAAGGUGGGGAUGACGUCAAAUCAUCACGGCCCUUACGUCUUGGGCCACACACGUAAUACAAUGGCCGGUACAGAGGGCAGCUACACAGCGAUGUGAUGCAAAUCUCGAAAGCCGGUCUCAGUUCGGAUUGGAGUCUGCAACUCGACUCUAUGAAGCUGGAAUCGCUAGUAAUCGCGCAUCAGCCAUGGCGCGGUGAAUACGUUCCCGGGCCU
rnacentral:rRNA from 1 species